rnacentral:lncRNA from 1 species
UUCGGCCUUCAACAUGAACUUUUGACGAGAGGGAUUUACCUCUCGGUCUUCUUCAUUAACUUUUGACCAGAGGGAUUUACCUCUCAAUCUUCAGCAUCAACGAAAGGGAUUUACCUCUCGGCCGAGGGGGAUUUACCGCUCGGUCUUUAACUUCAGAUUCUUUCUGGGGGACUGUCUUUGAUUUAUAGUCCAUGAAGGACUGUCUUUGAUUUAUAGUCUGGGGGACUGUGUUUGAUUUAUAGUCUUGUGACCUGCAAGAUAUAUAAUACAAAAAUUAUAGGCGAGACCGUUCGGUCAUUGGUUGAAUAAUGCCACCUUGUCAGAUUAUCUGCAGCACUGAAAACUUGUUGAGGUUGUUCCAUGUAGAUUUGAUGACCCAUGUUGUGUAGCUUUUAUUUUGUUGAAAAUUCUUGGUGUUGAUCCGAAUAGUGAUGUUGAGACCGAACAUUCGUCUUUGUUUCUGGUGUUUUGUUAUUCCUCCAUGCUUCUCGUGAUCGUCAUUUGGGUUUGCCGCUCGGCCCCACGGUGGGCGCCAAAAUGUUUCGGUAGUUAUUUUUUGGGACCGAGACACUAACCUGGAUGACGUGACUUUCCCGCUUUCUGAUUGCUUUUCCUGGAUCUUGACCGCUCGCUUUACUUUAACCUUGACCGUCCGGUGAUCUUCAAGCUUUGGCCGAGGGGGGGAGGUACCUGCAAUGGUACUCCGAUGCUCAAGUUAGGCGUGUAUUGUGGAAGAACCUCAGUUCUUAUAAAAGUGAUUCUCAGUAUAAGAGAGUUGACAGCAGGGUUGNUGUAUGAUUAUGAUGGGAGUAGUGAGUAUGCUGAAUNUUAGCGUACCUUGUUUGGAGUCUUUNGCCCUUUAUUUAUAGGCUCUGGAUUGAUAUAAGAUUAGUAGAAUAUAAACAGAAUAUAAUAUAAACAGACUUACCUGAAAAUCUUGUUAGUUGCUAAAUAUCUUUUAAAUAGAUAUUCUUGAUUAUCCCAUGAUUAUUUUAUAUCUUUAGUAAGAUAUAUCGUAAUCGCUCGGCCCUGAUAUCAUAUUGUACAAUAAUAUUUUAGUAAUUUAAAUUAAGUGAUCCUAAUUCAUUUUUUUAGCUAAAUUUAGUUAAAUUUGGGACAAGACUCCGUGAAAUUGGUGAAGUUAUUAAUCAUCAUGCUUUAAUGUAAUGUUUUAUUUUUUGGUUCUUUAUUUUCUUAAUCUAUUUAUUGUUAUUAGUUCACUGUAGUGAAUUCUUAUCUUCUGUUGUAUUUUUUUUUUC